CUGUAUAUAUCAUUGUUCUGAUAAUAGCUAACAUUCUUGAGGGUCUACUGUGGGUCUGGUAGUGUGUCCGAGUAAUAUUCUCAAUGUCAUACCAACUCUGAAGGUAGAUAUUAUGCCUUCUUUAGAGAUGAGGAAACUGAGGCAGAGAAAAGCACCAUGGGGCUCUGAGAGAACACAGGUCUCACUGGAACCAAGGUCUGUCGCCCUCCUGGCCACCACACAGGAUUCUCUGCUGUGGGACACGGUUUACCCUCACAUCCCCAUCACUGUCACUCAGAAGCCUGACUGCAAAGUCCGUCUCUCUCUUCUUCCACCUCUUCUCUUUCUCCUCCCUCUGUUCCUCUCGCAUUCUCAGGAAUCUGUGUGGCCUUGGAAAUGAAGAAUGAAGACUGUCUCCAUUCACACGUAGCCAUCUGCUCUGGAGAAGAAUAGGAGUACACUCCCCCUGGAGGGCAGGGCUGAGUGGGUGGUGUUGAGCCCCUCGGAGGGUCUGGCUGAAUGCCGAAGCCAGUGUAGACAGCUUGCCUGCAGGGGUGUUAUCUGGCAAGUCAGUGCAGUUUCUGGGUUUUUGAGAACUAAAGGUGACCACACAGUUGAGCCUCAAAGAAAGGACACAGUUGAGAAUGAAAAGGGCACUCUUCACUAUUUGCAAUGUCUGAG
rnacentral:lncRNA from 1 species